GAUGAAGAACGUAGCGAAAUGCGAUACUUGGUGUGAAUUGCAGAAUCCCGUGAACCAUCGAGUUUUUGAACGCAAGUUGCGCCCGAAGCCAUUAGGCCGAGGGCACGCCUGCCUGGGCGUCACACGUCGUUGCCCCCCCCCAUCUACUCCUUCGGGAUUGCGGGGGGCGGAUGAUGGCCUCCCGUGCGCCUCGCCGCGCGGUUGGCAUAAAUGCCAAGUCCUCGGCGACGCACGCCACGACAAUCGGUGGUUGCGAAACCUCGGUUGCCCGUCGUGUGCGGUCGUCGCGCAUCGAGGGCUCGAAAAAAUUGCCGAGUUCCGGCUCGGCUUUCAACGCGACCCCAGGUCAGGCGGGGUUACCCGCUGAAUUUAAGCAUAUCAAUAAGCGGAGGA
rnacentral:misc_RNA from 1 species